UAUAUGUAUAAAAGUAGGGAACUUGUUUGUCAUGUAGUCAUAGUUUGUGGUUUUGGAAAGCCACAAGCUCCAGGGUGGAGAUAGCCAUUGUAUUACAUUAGCUAUUUUCUCACAGUUUAAGCAGCAGCAGCUCAAAACACUGUGGUCCAGACAGCAAAAUACCCAACAAAGAAGCAGUUCCCUCUCGAAGGCCCACGUGUCUCACCAGGCCUCUGAAAAGAGGAUGUAUAUGUGCUUCAAAGCCACAGUGUGAAACCUGCAAAUUUUGGAAGCACUCAAACUUAGCACCUCCUGGGAGUUAUUCUAUAAAGGAUGCCGGAAAGGCCACAGAAAAAUAAACUCACUUGAGGAGAUGAACCCACCACAGAAAUCAGCCCCCGCUGUUGCUAGCUGUGCUGAACUCCUGCCACGCAGUUGGAAGAGCUGGAGAUCUCCAAAUCAGUUUCUGAUAAAGGCGAUUAACAUCCUACACCAAGGUCUCCUGUGCAGCGUGUGACUGGCUGGAAGGCACCCCUACCUUUGAAUUUUUCCUUGAAGAACUGGGCACCUGUCUGCCUGCCAACAUUUCCAUGGAAACCCCCAAAAAUAAAGACUUUCCCAGCCUUGUGAGAGCACACCUGCAAGAGCAAGAAUUGCAGUUAGCCUGUUGCCUGUCCAAAGUGAAUCUCCUUCAUUAUUGGUGUCACCUAAGGACAUUUUUCAUGGAUUGGAGCUUCCUGUUGUACAUAUGAAAAAAAAAUCAAAGAAGUCACCUGGUGUUUAUAAGAAGAAACCUUCACAGAAUGGCACAGGUGAACUCCAGAUCACUUCAGCAAAGUGCAGCUUUACAGGGAAAGACAUGCAACAGAGGAAGGACAUGCAACAGUUCACAGCUUUAGAAAGGAUCCAAGACCAGUCAACAACCACAUCUUCUAGUGCACAUCUAGAAUGCAAACAAGGCCGAAGUACACCUGAUCAGCAUGCCUACCAAGUCAAGGGACUUCCUAAAUUGAAUGUGAACCAGACGGAACCAACAUGUUCUGAAAAGAGUGACCAGAAAACUGCAUUGUUUUUACUCUGUACAUUAAAAACAUAACACUGGGGGCCAAAAUUUGUUUCAAUCAUGUUUGGCAGUUAAUGACAACAGAACUAUAAUCAGCAGCAUGUUGACCCAGCAUCCUCCAAGCUCUUUCUGUGUGCACCAGAGGAACACUGUGUACAGACAGAGCAGGAAACACGGUCCCUCCAUUCAUCGGUGCCGCAGCCACUGUGCACAACAGGCACCACUUUGGAGAAACGUUCCUGCCUGAAUUUCAAACAAAGAAAGCCUCACAACUAAAAUCCAGACAAAGCCCAACCCUGGUUCUGCUGCUACUGCUCUAUGCGCUAUUGGAGACUUUUUGAACUCAACUGACUAAAGGGGCUGAACGAAGAGUGAAGCACCCAAAAGGGCUGGGGAGUAACAGCGAUUUCAAACCACCUUGUUGUGAGUCCACCCUGGCAUCUGUACCAGCUCCUGGUGCCAAUGGUACGAUUUACACACAGCCUCAAGGCUCCACACUGGUGAUGGAGAAUUUGAUGUGAAGUCUCUCCUGCUCACCUGAAUGCUCAGAGCACGGAGGCAAGAGACGCAGCAGCUAGUACAGACACUUUCGGUCAUCCAAAGGCUGGUUAAACACAUCCAGGGAUACAAGCUGCUUACAGCAGCCGAGCAUACCACUGAACCACACCCUUCAAGUUAUUUCCAGCAAUCCUAACAGCCACUGCAGUCAAAGACCGUCUUGGGGUUUCCAUCAGAAGUCCAGAUCCUGCAAGAAACGCUACUGCAGGAUUUGGGGCCAUGUUCUACACUUCUCAGGAUUCUCUGUCCUUAGACUCAAGUUCAGAUCCCUGCCACCCAAACAAGCCUGAAGUAAAAACUACUGGUAAGUACUGGAGGUAAGUCAAACACCACCAAAACCUGAUUGCUGAAGUAUCCUGUACUUGCAGUCACCUCAUCUCAAACUAAUUUGAUUUUAAAACUUAAGUUAAGCAAGUUAUUAGUAAUCACUUUACAUAUAUUUCUUUAUUUUGUUGGGGAAGGAACGGAGGGAGAAGAGAAAAAAAAAAAUCAAGCUAUUUAGCCUUCCAACUAUUUAACAUAAAACCCAAAAGAGCUCCAUCUGGCAACCAGCAGGAUUUCUAAAUAAUCUAAAUAGUAUCUACAUAAGAACCAGGCUGUCUAUAGUAAGACAACUUCGACUUUUACAGGCACAAGAAGCCUUUAUUAACAUAAAAGGAAAUUAUAAAAAAUUAAGUUAGAACAGGAACAAGAGUCUGGCAAACUGACAAAAGACCCCAGGAAUCUCUGAAUUAAUCUUGAAAUGCUGCUUUUGCCUUUGUCGGCACAUAGCACCAUACACUGUGUAGUUUAAAAAACAAACAAACAAAGCAAAAUAAAAACCCUUAGAUUCAAAGGACUGUAGUACAAUAAAAACAGUUCCAAGAAAAGAUUCAGAUUCGUUAAAAUCAAUACAUGUAAUUCCUCGCUUUGCAACACGAGAAGACCCCUGAUGUUUUAACAUCGUGGAAAAUAUUAAUAUUUAAUUACAGACUUAACUGAGUCAUGGAUGAGGCCCCAUUUCCACAGCCAUCCUUCUUCAUUAAUAGUUCAUAAUGCCACUAACUUUUUAUAUAAAAUUUUGAUAAUUUGUAAUUUCCAAGUAAAUAAACACCUCCCCAUAUUUAAUUUCCCAGGUUACCCAUAGGAAGGAACUGGCCUUCCACUUCAUACCUAGCCUGCCUGGUUUUUGCCCUGUGUGUGAAUGCUCCAAGCCUGGUGGUGUUUUGGUGUCUUACACAAGCUAUCAACAGUCAGGAUGCCACUUUCAAGCUGCCACUGGGAUUUUCUGUCAGUGUCCUGGACAAGAGCCAAAGAACGACACCAGUGGGCCCAAAAAAACCCCCGUGUUGUGCUGAUCCUGUGAGGAUGGGGCAGCCUUGAAGCUGUGCGUUUCCUGAAGCUCUCCUGGGUUCCAGGAAGGGAAUUUCUAUCUUUAUCACUGCCCAUCUGGCACCUCUCGCAGGCAGCAAGAACAAAGAGUUGGAGUUAAAUGUUCUGGUCCCUACCAUCUGCUUCUGCUCGUAAAGUCUACAAGGAGCCUGAUAGGGAGAAGAAACAAAAAAAAGCCACCUUCAUCUCCCACUGAACUGCUCUGGCAAGUACCUAUUUUUGCCUGUACUUCUCAAGGCAGCCCUAGAGGCGUUUGUUUCCCUACAGCAGUACAGCUGCUUGACACAGAGCAUCCCAAACGCUGCCAGCCCAACAUCUCCAUUCACAAACAUCUAACAGCCCCGAAAGAAAGGUUGCGUUGUUUGAGAUCUGCUUUACUGGAUCAGCCUCUGUUCUAUCUAGAAUAGGAAAAUUCCUGUGGGUUUAAUAGGAGGUAUUACCCUACAGAUUUUCUCUGGUUCCACCUCCUUUCCCAUCAGCCACAUCCCCUCUUGCUGCAAGUCUGCAUACACCAUGUGUUGGCUCGACCCCUUCUGUCUCUGACAGAAGUUUGGCCAAAAAGAGCAGAUUUUCUGCUACUUUGAUCAUUUCCUGUGGUAAAAAAGUGAAGGGAAUUAUCUGACCCAUGGUCUUUUUUUUCUUAGUUUUGAAAAAUAACAAGGAUUUACAUUUGCAAGUUCCCUUAAAUAGCAUACUUGCUUUUCAAUAGCAUUUUGCUGCUGGUUUAUUGGUUGUCUUACAGAGCUUUUAACUUUUUUUUUUUUUUUAAAUCAGAAAACACAUUGCUCUUUCAAAUUCUGCAGUCAACUGCUCUAUUUAAUCAAUACAGAACUUCAUUACGGUGAAGAAGCAACCAAAAGGUGGUAUCAAAUCCACAAGCAACGUAAAAGUGGCAGCUUCUACCCUGUUAAAAAAUUCUCACAUUCAAAAAAGGAGCUUAAUUCUCUUUUGGUGGGGAUAGUGUUAUUUUUGGCUACAAAUAUGCAUUGCAUAAUGUAUUUAGAAAUAAGUUAACCCUUUUAUUAAGUACACUAUUAGAACAAAUCCAUGAUGUGCGAUAUAAGCAGCCUGAAAUACUAAGUUUUCUCUUAUCCAUGAGAGCAACUUUGGAACCAAGGUUCUCUCUGGAAGGUUCCAGUUCAAAAAACAGGUCUAAUGCUUGUCUAACCCUAUGUUGAAAUAGUGACAUGACCUGUUUACCCAAAUGGUGUAAGCAUUUGGGCAACAUGGACCUCAAGUAUGAAGCCAAGUGAUAAUUCGGUGACCAUUAUGCAGCCUGAAACCGCAACCUGAAAACAAGUCCGUCCAUUAGGUAUUUUUUUCUGUCCCAGAAAACACAAAGUAAAAGAACAAUAUAAAUAUACCCAGUGAAAUAACCUUGUAUCACAAUUAACAUUCUAUAGGAAUACAUUCCAGAACAAUUAUCACAAUAUACAUAGUCUUUAUAAAUAAUUAUUUUCCUGUUAACCCUUUACUCAGUAUGCAUAUAAACAGUUGUUUGUAUCAAAAGCCCUUUUUUUGAACUUUGCUAGGUUCAUAAUACAUAUAGUACAGAUUUUGACAGAUAAUCCCUUGAGCUGAGGCCAGAGGAGUGCAUGGCUACCUUUGCUAUCAGUGGAAGUUCUACUAUGGGAAGAAACAAUGAAGGUAGGUACUUAUACACUUCAAAAUAUUAUCAGAAAGGGAAUCUGCAGUAUCCUUGUUAAAAAAUGAAAUUGUACUGAACCACAACAAAAUUGGCGCUAUCAUUAAUAAUAU